UAUGUAUGUAUGUAUGUAUGUAUGUAUGUAUGUAUGUAUGUAUGUAUGUAUGUAUGUAUGUAUGUAUGUGGGCGCGCGCGCACAUGUGUCUAAAAAUUAUAUUAUAUUAUUUUAUUUAUAUCGUAUUGAAAAAAGCAUACACAUAUUCUACAAUUUUCUUUUAAAUAGGGACGAGCCUAUGCCCUCAGCAAUGAGUGAAAACUUUUUAACUUUAAUUAAUAAUUAUAACCUUUGAUCC
rnacentral:lncRNA from 1 species